rnacentral:rRNA from 1 species
AUUGAACGCUGGCGGCAGGCAUAACACAUGCAAGUCGAGCGGGGGAAGGUAGCUUGCUACUGGACCUAGCGGCGGACGGGUGAGUAAUGCUUAGGAAUCUGCCUAUUAGUGGGGGACAACAUCUCGAAAGGGAUGCUAAUACCGCAUACGUCCUGCGGGAGAAAGCAGGGGAUCUUCGGACCUUGCGCUAAUAGAUGAGCCGAAGUCGGAUUGGCUAGUUGGUGGGGUAAAGGCCUACCAAGGCGACGAUCUGUAGCGGGUCUGAGAGGAUGAUCCGCCACACUGGGACUGAGACACGGCCCAGACUCCUACGGGAGGCAGCAGUGGGGAAUAUUGGACAAUGGGGGGAACCCUGAUCCAGCCAUGCCGCGUGUGUGAAGAAGGCCUUAUGGUUGUAAAGCACUUUAAGCGAGGAGGAGGCUACUCUAGUUAAUACCUAGGGAUAGUGGACGUUACUCGCAGAAUAAGCACCGGCUAACUCUGUGCCAGCCGCCGCCGUAA